rnacentral:rRNA from 1 species
CCUACGGGUGGCUGCAGUGGGGAAUUUUGGACAAUGGGCGAAAGCCUGAUCCAGCCAUUCCGCGUGAGUGAAGAAGGCCUUCGGGUUGUAAAGCUCUUUCGGGUAGAAAGAAAUCGCAUGGGCCAAUACCCUGUGCGGAUGACGGUACUACCAUAAGAAGCACCGGCUAACUACGUGCCAGCAGCCGCGGUAAUACGUAGGGUGCGAGCGUUAAUCGGAAUUACUGGGCGUAAAGCGUGCGCAGGCGGCUUGAUAAGACAGAUGUGAAAUCCCCG